rnacentral:miRNA from 1 species
AGGUUGUUUCUUGAAGUGCAAGGC